AAAAACUUCUCAUGAUAUACCACUGGGAACCUAAAAGCCAGUGAUCACACAUACAAACAUUCCAAGGGAAAAUGCGUAAACUCACAACUCAAACAAAUUACUAACAGGACCAUGUAUGAUUUUGCAGCUUAGAAUCUACAUAAAACAGAACAGUGCAGGUAACCUCUAUCUAAAUCUCACUACUAACUUUAUUCAAACAUUUAUUCCUAGAUCAUCCGUACUCCUUCUAUGUACAAAUCAUGCAAUAUCUCUGUCUAAAUCAAUGCCAAUGCAUGCACAUGCACAAGUCUGAACUAAACAACAUAUAUAAUAUAGCAUAAUUAUAUGAUCUAAAAUAGAUGCAUGAUCAGGGGAGGAAGAUGGUGAAGCCAAAGAUGAGCAACUGAGAUUGGAUAAACGACGACCGGCGAGCAGCAGCCCAUAGUGAUGGCCGGCUCCAUUCGACCAUGACGCGAACAACGCCGGAGCUCCGGCCUAGCUGCUCCUUCCCCAUGCCCGUCCUACUCAUCCCCCGUGCUUCUCCACACCAAGCAUGAAGACCACACCAGCCAGGCUCUCUUAUGGCGAUGACCUGCGCCCAAUCCAGAAUCAUGAUAUGUGGCGGCGCCGGAUCGAGAACACGGGGAGACGCUGUCCUGUGGGGAAGAGAAAGAGGAUAGCAUGGUAUAAAAUAAAGUAGUCAUUUUUCAUGUAGUGAAACUUUAGUUUUGGGCAAGAUGAUCAAAAAUAAUAAUAUAACUAAUGCAACAGGAGAACCACAUAUGGAGGCACUCAAGUGGACAGACACAACAGUUCAAACAAACCCAAAAAUAUCUCAUUGUUCACCUUAAACCUUCGGAGGUUUAAACUACUAGUUGAACUGAAAGGCACCGUUGCUCGGUGACAAAAAAAUCAGUACGCUCUGCAGUAAUUUGAUAUGAUAAAAACCAGUUGGAUAAAGACCAAAUAAAGUUAUUACCUAGCGAAGUUAGGGCUGCCAUAAAAAUCUGAACAGUUCCAUAAGUUGUCUCUUGAUAUUAUAUGAUUCAUAAAGGAACAUGACACAUGAUUGUGCAAAAAUGACUAUUGAUUCAGUGCCACACUACAGGAAAGGGGAUAUCGGUAGUCAUUAGAAUACACAGACUGAUAGAAAUUAUGUACCUGAUAUUACUUACUACUUCUCUCAUCUAGCUGCAGCUGGUUUAGCAAAGAGAACCCAAUACCCAAAAUCAUGAAAUGGAUGUUCUCUUGGUUAGUAUACAAGACUGCUAAUUAUCUCUGUUGCCUCACCACAGAGCAUCCAAGCAAAGGGCCAUGGAGCACCUCACAACAAAAGGAACCUGAAACCUACAAACAGAGCAAUGAUUUUUCUUGUAACAUGAACCACCAAAUUAACUACACUCGGCUGCACAGCAUGCGAUCGCCACCAUAGAAAGGCUACCCUACUACUUAACUCUCUCCACAAACUACAAAAAAGCAAGAAAAUCAACCCAAACAACAUUGUAGGAACGAUAUAGACAAGACAAAAGAAUCUCAACUUGUUCGCUCUUUUUUAGUUGAAUAACUCCUUCCAGAGUAAAUGGUCAAGCUGGCCGCAAGAAAGAAACACACAAAAGCCCGAGAAUAGUGCACCAACAAGAAGGGAAAAAAUCUACACAUGGACAAACUGACAGGGUUUGUGCUUCAGGAACCGAAAGAUUUGGGGAGAGAGAGAAGCAUACCUAAUAGAACUUCACAAGCAUGUCAACCCCUUGUUUAAUUAUUCUCCAAUUUCAGCCCUAGCAUUGAAGGAAGCCCAACCCUCCCAUGAACAGACUUUAGAGUGAAGCUCAUUGAUGAUGGCACUGUUAGCAGUCAGAAACUGUAUAAGCGAGGCUAUUCCGCCUUCUUGGCCCUCUCAAAUGGUCUAAAAACCCGAGAAUAGUGCACCAACAAGAAGGAAAAAAAUCUACGUAUGGACAAACUGACAGGGUUUGUGCUUCAGGAACCGAAAGAUUUCGGGAGAGAGAGAAGCAUACCUAAUAGAACUUCACAAGCAUGUCAACCCCUUGUUUAUUCUCCAAUUUCAUCCCUAGCAUUGAAGGAAGCCCAACCCUCCCAUGAACAGACUUUAGAGUGAAGCUCAUUGAUGAUGGCACUGUUAGCAGUCAGAAACUGUAUCAGCGAGGCUAUUCCGCCUUCUUGGCCCUCUUAAAUAGCGUGUACAUACCUGUUUUAGAGUCAAGAGAAAAAAUGAUAUCAAGUGAGCAUAUCUAAAAUCCAUCAUAAUACAUAUAAAGAAUGUGUUACAUCUGAAAUAAAAUGGAACAUGCAAAUUAGAUAGUUACUUAUAAGUGAAAUACAUAAUUAUUGGUCAUCAACAAACAAUCAAGCACAUAAUUAUUAAUUGGUAAUUAUUAAUAAUAUUUAACGAUCACCUAGGAUAUUGGCCCUUCCCGAGAACAAAGAAAUUUUUACCUUGACACUAAAGUGACCUAAUUCAAAUUCAUUUCAGAGGGGAAAAGCUAUAGUGGAAGCAACAAUCCUAUAGAGAAAUAACAUCAAGAAAUGGUGCUACUGAAUUAGGGUAGAAAAGAUAAAAAUAUAAAUAACAAAAAAGCGAUAUCAGAUAUAUUUUAUGUGCCCUGCACAAGGUAUGUACUAAUUAAUUAAAGCAUGGUAUUUCUCAAUCUCAUGUCAGGUACCAAAUAUUAGUCCUACAACGUGAAGCUGCAAAGCUGAGACGCAAGAACAUAUUCCUGAAUCUAAUCAGCAUGCCUUGCUGUUGGAAGAAAUUUAUAUCCUGAUUGCUCACAUUCACACAUCCAUCAUCGAAUCCUGUAGAGCCUACCGAGUACAUAUUAAGAUGCAGUUAGAAGCAAACUAAUAAAAGUACAUCCAGACAAGAAAUUGAUGAUAUAUCUUGUAACAAAAGCAAAAAAAGUACAGCCGAUUUCAAGCCACGUGUAAACAUGAGGUUGUGCUACAUACACAUGGAUAUAAUCAUCACAUAAACAAUCAGAACAAGAACAUAUCUGUAGCAAUAAAAUGGCAACUAACAUGACUUUGUGCCACCUAUAAUAAAGCUGAGUAAAAGUUCCAACCAUUAGCUAGUUGCAUAAUCUAUAAGAGUUUGGAGUACAUAUGACGAUUCAAAGAGAUACGGUAACUCUGUAAUAACAACAUGCCGGCGAAAGCUGAACCCAACAAGAACAAUCCCUGAAAAGCUAAAACUAUUGUGCAUCUCUACUUUUCUUUGAUUCUUUUACGUCGUCUUCCAGAUUUUACUAUGAUUGAGGUGUGUGUAAAUUUGAUCAGUCAUACAGAACCAAAGCAAUGUAGGUGCUCUUAAUACUCAAAUAAGAAUAAACUGGAGAGGUAGCUCAUGGUAUUCAUUUUAGGUAUUAUUAAGAAAUAAGCUUUUGAGAAUGUGUAAUGAAUAUAAAGAUGGUGAGGGCUUCAAGAAACAUAAUGAACAUUAGAACGGGAAGGUGCCAUUUUCAUUGACAUGCCGAAAGAAAUGUUGUGAGCAAUUCCAAAAUGCUAAAUCAGAUAGACAUGUAUCACCUACUUGCUGAUGACGUCUACUUUUGAGCUCUGAUGUAAGCAUGGCAAAACAGCCCAUAGUCAAGACUGGAACCAAUGUAUUUUAAAGAAAUUCAGUACGGGGGUGAAUAACAAAUAUGUAAUGUGAAGAACUAUUGAACUCGAGCUCCGCUAGCAUACAAAGAAACUCACAGCAAAAAACAUGCACCAUGCAACCUGUGGAAUCAAAUAUGAACUGAACAAUGUGUAUUUACUCACAUGCUCUACACGGUAACCAUAUAUGCCUUUUUUCCAGUUUGCUGGCCUAAGCUUAAUUUUAUGUCUGAUCAGAGUGUAUAGGGAGUUGAGAUAUGAAUGUUAAGCUGGUUUUCCUGUAGACAUAGGCGUGUGUAUCUCAACUAUUUUGAUUACUUAGCUGUACACAUAGGCAUGUCUAUCUCUGCUAUUCUCAGGACAGGGUAAAUACUACCCAAACAAAGUAGAGAAAAGAGAAAGUACAUAGAAAAGUUGAGAAUGCUUCUGCAAAUACUAAACAACAUACAUAAUUAGUAAGUAGUAACAUCACAUUCCUUAAUAAAGAUAAAUGGAUGGCAAAGAUGAUGGCACUAAUUACUUUAUACGUCGAGCAGCCCUAUCAUGGAAAGGUGAAUCCGCCUUCGACAGCAAGGAUGUCACAGACAGACACGCAAAGCCUGAGAUUCGCAACCAC
rnacentral:lncRNA from 1 species